rnacentral:rRNA from 1 species
UAGUGGCGCACGGGUGAGUAACACGUGAAUAAUCUACCUCCGAGUGGGGAAUAACCAAAAGAAAAUUUUGGCUAAUACCGCAUAACACUUACGAGUCAAAGCAGCAAUGCGCUUGGAGAGGAGUUCGCGGCAGAUUAGUUAGUUGGCGGGGUAAUGGCCCACCAAGACGAUGAUCUGUAUCCGGCCUGAGAGGGCGCACGGACACACUGGAACUGAAACACGGUCCAG